rnacentral:rRNA from 1 species
GAUGAACGCUGGCGGCGUGCCUAAUACAUGCAAGUCGAACGCACAGCGAAAGGUGCUUGCACCUUUCAAGUGAGUGGCGAACGGGUGAGUAACACGUGGACAACCUGCCUCAAGGCUGGGGAUAACAUUUGGAAACAGAUGCUAAUACCGAAUAAAACUUAGUGUCGCAUCACACAAAGUUAAAAGGCGCUUUGGCAUCACCUAGAGAUGGAUCCGCGG